GCUCCGGCGGUGCAGGAUGAGCCCGCGGCCUAUCAGCUAGUUGGUGAGGUAACGGCUCACCAAGGCGACGACGGGUAGCCGGCCUGAGAGGGCGACCGGCCACACUGGGACUGAGACACGGCCCAGACUCCUACGGGAGGCAGCAGUGGGGAAUAUUGCACAAUGGGCGAAAGCCUGAUGCAGCGACGCCGCGUGAGGGGAUGACGGCCUUCGGGUUGUAAACCUCUUUCAGCAGGGAAGAAGCGAAAGUGACGGUACCUGCAGAAGAAGCGCCGGCUAACUACGUGCCAGCAGCCGCGGUAAUACGUAGGGCGCAAGCGUUGUCCGGAAUUAUUGGGCGUAAAGAGCUCGUAGGCGGCUUGUCACGUCGGUUGUGAAAGCCCGGGGCUUAACCCCGGGUCUGCAGUCGAUACGGGCAGGCUAGAGUUCGGUAGGGGAGAUCGGAAUUCCUGGUGUAGCGGUGAAAUGCGCAGAUAUCAGGAGGAACACCGGUGGCGAAGGCGGAUCUCUGGGCCGAUACUGACGCUGAGGAGCGAAAGCGUGGGGAGC
rnacentral:rRNA from 1 species